UACACAGGAUUCAUAGUUCAGUGCUGAAAUUGAUUAUGCACCUUUUUUUUCCCCCAAGUGUUAACAGAGAAAAUAAACACUGCCUGUAAUGUCUGGAAACUGGUACUGAGCUACAUUGUAAAAAAUGGAGUAAAUAAGAGCUCAGAAUCUAGUCCUAACCAAAUCUUGGCCUAACCAAUGUGUUUGGCCACUUCAAAGAGACAAUUCUAGGCUCACCUCUCAGUGACAGCUCUGUGAACUGCCUCCAGCUUCUUAGCAUGUUUUUAAGAGCCUGCUGGCACCUUGCAAUUAUCACUCAUCAGUCAUUUCUCAAGAGACUUGCUUUUACUUCCUGAAAGAUGGUAGAAGAAGGGUAGCCUGGCAAAAUGGUAUCUGACAUGGAAGUGCAGAUGAAGUACAGGUGUGGCAUUUCCUCCAAGUGGAAAAAAAUAGCACCCACUGAUGCUUAUUGACACUUCCUGAACAUUUAUUUAUGGAAACCAAACAGUGGAUGGCUAGGUCCAGAAGUUUUGAAAAGUAUCUUUGAGACUUGUGACUUUAUGGGAUGUAAACAACAACAACAACAAAAGGCCAAAGGGCUGUCUCAUCCCUUUCAAUCGUGUUGUUCAUUCCUACUGUGCCUUCCCUUCCACUGUGUUUCAUUGUCACCUACGCAGUCUGUGCUCGCCAUGUCACUAAAAGUGAUAAAAGUUUACAUUCUUUUGGGGCUGCAUUACUAGCUGACUAGGGCUUCAUAUGCCAUGCACUGGACAUGUCUGGAUUAUAACUCUUCUGGAAGUACUAAUAUGUAAGUUCCUGAUCUAUUUACAAAAACAGAUCAUAAUAAUAAUGUAAAUAUAAAUAAAAAAAUUGAUAUAUAACUAGUACACUUAACUGGGCUCAUUGCCAAGGCAGUUGAUGAGCAGUGCUAGAUUUUGAAUCCAGGAUUUGGAAAGUAAUAGAUAGAAAAUGUUACACAGCUGUUUAUUUUAUGUAAAAUGAUAGAGGCAUUUCUUUGCAGAACACAGGGCUAUGAAUUUUACAAACCAGAUUCUUUCAUUUUCUCAAUUACAAUAACAUUGCUUAAAAAGAUCUUUUUUCAUCACUUACGUAAUGCAGUUAAUGCAGGUAUAAAUGGAACUGUGUAUUUUUAGUUUUUACUAUAAUACGUUUCAGUGACAGUAUUUUCUCAUGGUGAAAUUUACUUCAAAAACCUUUCCAUUUUCCCAUUGCAUUCUGCUUUAAAUCACAGAAAAUUGCAGACUACUUAGAAACACAGGUGGCUUGUAAUCUCGGGACAUAAUAACGAACUACAAAGGAACAAUAUAUUUCCUUUUGAUUACUGUAAUUCAGAGCUACUGUGUGGGCAAGAAUUGAGAAUCCAUACCACCCAGGCAGUUCACUUAGCAGCAAUCAUCCCUUCUAGUAAAUUUUUGUCAAGUUAAUGUUUGUAUUUGAUACAGUGCAAUAGAAGAAGACAGCAGGUGUAAAGAAUUUCUACAGUUACCCCACGCAUCUUUGGAUUCAGCCAUAAUUGAACUUUCUGGAAAAAGAAAGUAGCUUCCAAGUAACUGAAAUUUCAACUUGUGAGAUAUCAUGAAACACAACUGGAAUCAAAUAAACCAGUUUAAUGCAACUAAUCUUAAAGUUUACAAUUUCUAACAAUAAUCCUUAGUGGCUUGAAAGAGAAUAAAUUUGUAGUAGCAGAAUGAUUUUUUUUUUUUUUAACUAUAAAUUCAUCCUUCUAGCUUCCUGUUGUCCAAUUUUAAUACUUCCAAGACCAUAAAGUAGCUAUUUCUAUCUUUCUAAGCUGUAUAGUUUACUUUUAGCAGAAGAAAUCUACUGUAAAUUAUUGUUUUUCAGACCCUUUUACUGUAGCUCUAGGUCAUGUUUUAUCACCUACUAUUAUUCAAAAUUUAAGCACAUAUAAUUUUAUUUGUCAUAAUUAACAUUUUUAAAUUUUAAGACAGGCAGUCUUGGCAUCAUUGUGAAAUGCAUUUGGAGAAGAUCACAACUCCUCUGUUCAUACAGUCUGAAACAUCCUGUUCUUGGGGCUACUUAUUCAUCACUCUGUGUAACAAAUCACCUACAUCUUCCAAGUAUGUCUUGGCUCAAGCCAGUUUAGUUUGUGUAAUCUGAGUGAUCACAGCAAACAUUAAUUGUAGGCCAUUCUGGGAUGUUUACUUUGUAUAACUAUACAGCAUAAAUGUAGGAAACAUAACCAUGUUUGAAAUUUCCAGGACAGUAAGCCAAAAUUUCAGACUUUUUACCUGAAGUUCUGUGGCUUUACAGCAUAUUAAGAGUUCUCCCUGAGGUUUGAUUUACAUGUAAAAAUUUUCAUCUUUUAUAUAGCCAAUAUAGCUAAUUUAAGAAAAUUUAAUGUUGUGAGAUCUUUUAAGCACAAUAUCUUUUUAUAUUUCUGGAAAUAUAGCCCACAAAAUUAUUGUUGUUUUUUUCCUGUGACUGUUGUUUUUUUAAGGCGAGCUAAAGAUUUCAUGUGUUAAGUCAUUUGUUAUUGGUGUUAUGUCACCCCACAGGAAAAAUAAAUAGAAAUUAGGUUUUCAUAGGAGAUUUAUAAUCUCCUUCUAUUAACUGGAAGCUCUUUGUUUUCAUUUUCAUUUACUUUAUUUGAUUUCCUACAUUUUAGCAUAA